UACUUGUAAUGAUGAGUCCAUAGUUCAACUGAGCAACACUGAUGUACUCAUUUACAGCAUAUGUCUUUCGCUCCUAUCUGAUCCGAUAG
rnacentral:snoRNA from 1 species